UUGGGAGAAAUCUACGGAAAU
ensembl:piRNA 21ur-2222 ncRNA